GAUGAAUAACGUAGCGAAAUGCGAUAAGUAGUGUGAAUUGCAGAAUUCAGUGAAUCAUCGAAUCUUUGAACGCACAUUGCGCCCCUUGGUAUCCCGAGGGGCAUGCCUGUUCGAGCGUCAUUUCACCACUCAAGCCUGGCUUGGUGUUGGGCGACGUCCUCUUUGGGGACGCGCCUCGAAACGCUCGGCGGCGUGGCACCGGCUUUAAGCGUAGCAGAAUCUUUCGCUUUGGAAGUCGGGGCCCCGUCUGCCGGAAGACCUGCUCGCAAGGUUGACCUCGGAUCAGGCAGGGAUACCCGCUGAACUUAAGCAUAUCAAUAAGCGGAGGA
rnacentral:misc_RNA from 1 species